rnacentral:rRNA from 1 species
UACGAAGGGGGCUAGCGUUGUUCGGAAUUACUGGGCGUAAAGCGCGCGCAGGCGGCUCUUCAAGUCAGGGGUGAAAGCCCGGAGCUCAACUCCGGAACUGCCUUUGAAACUGUAGAGCUUGAGUACGGGAGAGGUGAGUGGAAUUCCCAGUGUAGAGGUGAAAUUCGUAGAUAUUGGGAAGAACACCGGUGGCGAAGGCGGCUCACUGGCCCGUUACUGACGCUCAGGCGCGACAGCGUGGGGAUCAAACAGG